rnacentral:rRNA from 1 species
UACGAAGGGGGCUAGCGUUGUUCGGAAUUACUGGGCGUAAAGCGUGCGCAGGCGGCUUCUCAAGUCAGGGGUGAAAGCCCAGAGCUCAACUCUGGAACUGCCUUUGAUACUGAAGAUCUUGAGUUCGGGAGAGGUGAGUGGGACUGCGAGUGUAGAGGUGAAAUUCGUAGAUAUUCGCAAGAACACCAGUGGCGAAGGCGGCUCACUGGCCCGAUACUGACGCUGAGGCACGAAAGCGUGGGGAGCAAACAGG